GCUUACGGCCAUACCAGCCCAAGAACGCCCGGUCUCAUCUGAUUUCGGAAGCUAAGAAGGCUUGGGCCUGUUUAGAACUUGGAUGGGAGACCUCCUGGGAAUACCAGGUUCUGUAAGCU
ensembl:rRNA 5S_rRNA 5S ribosomal RNA